CUCACUAUGUGUAUAUAACACACACGUGUCGACACAUUUGCCGGGGUGCUCUGGUGCUUGCAUUCAGAGUCGGUGUAAUGGGACACGUGGAGGCAUAAC
rnacentral:sRNA from 1 species